UACGUAGGGGGCAAGCGUUGUCCGGAUUUAUUGGGCGUAAAGAGCGUGUAGGCGGCUAGAUAGGUCCGUUGUGAAAACUCGAGGCUCAACCUCGAGACGCCGAUGGAAACCAUCCAGCUAGAGUCCGGAAGAGGAGAGUGGAAUUCCUGGUGUAGCGGUGAAAUGCGCAGAUAUCAGGAAGAACACCCGUGGCGAAGGCGGCUCUCUGGGACGGUACUGACGCUGAGACGCGAAAGCGUGGGGAGCGAACAGG
rnacentral:rRNA from 1 species